rnacentral:rRNA from 1 species
GACCCGGGUGUGUGCUUGCCAGCAACCCCCAAUUUUUUCAGGUUGACCUCGGAUCAGGUAGGGAUACCCGCUGAACUUAAGCAUAUCAAUAAGCGGAGGAAAAGAAACCAACAGGGAUUACCUCAGUAACGGCGAGUGAAGCGGUAACAGCUCAAAUUUGAAAUCUGGCCGCAAGGUCCGAGUUGUAAUUUGUAGAGGAUGUUUCGAGCAUGGUCUGGCCUAAGUUCCUUGGAACAGGACGUCAUAGAGGGUGAGAAUCCCGUAUGCGGUCAGGUGCCUACGCUCAUGUGAAACUCCUUCGACGAGUCGAGUUGUUUGGGAAUGCAGCUCAAAAUGGGUGGUAAAUUUCAUCUAAAGCUAAAUAUUGGCCAGAGACCGAUAGCGCACAAGUAGAGUGAUCGAAAGAUGAAAAGCACUUUGGAAAGAGAGUUAAACAGUACGUGAAAUUGUUGAAAGGGAAGCGCUUGCAACCAGACUUGCGCGCGGCUGAUCAUCCGGGCUUCUGCCCGGUGCACUCGGUCGCGCUCAGGCCAGCAUCGGUUUUGGUGGCGGGAUAAAGGCCUUGGGAAUGUAGCUCCUCUCGGGGAG